rnacentral:rRNA from 1 species
GACGUAGGGCGCGAGCGUUGUCCGGAUUUGAUUAGGGCGUAAAGAGCUCGUGGCGGUUUGGUGAGUCGGGUGUGAAAUCUCCACGCUCGAACGUGGAGGGGCCACCGAUACUGCCAUGACUAGAGUCGGUAGGGGAGUGUGGAAUUCCCGGUGUACGGUGAAAUGCGCAGAUAAUCGGGAGGAACACCAGUAGCGAAGGCGACAC